UUAUUUGAGAGUUUGAUCCUGGCUCAGGACGAACGCUGGCGGCGUGCCUAAUACAUGCAAGUUGAGCGCUGAAAGUUGGUACUUGUACCGACUGGAUGAGCAGCGAACGGGUGAGUAACGCGUGGGGAAUCUGCCUUUGAGCGGGGGACAA
rnacentral:rRNA from 1 species